rnacentral:rRNA from 1 species
GGGGGGUUUUUGGGCGGAUAGCAUGGCACUCUCCCCUCGGGGAGAGGGCGGGCCGUAUCCCACACCCUUUGUGAACCACGACUCUGUUGCUUCGGGGGCGACCCUGCCGUCAGGCGGCGGUGCCCCCGGUGGCCUUCAACUAAACUCUGCAUCUUUUGCGUCGGAGUCUUUUAAAGAAUUAAACAAAACUUUCAACAACGGAUCUCUUGGUUCUGGCAUCGAUGAAGAACGCAGCGAAAUGCGAUAAGUAAUGUGAAUUGCAGAAUUCAGUGAAUCAUCGAAUCUUUGAACGCACAUUGCGCCCCGUGGUAUUCCGCGGGGCAUGCCUGUUCGAGCGUCAUUUCACCACUCAAGCCUAGCUUGGUAUUGGGCGCCGCGGCGAUCUCCAUCGCUGCGCGCCUUAAAGUCUCCGGCUGAGCAGUCUGUCUCCGAGCGUUGUGACACAUGUCGCUAGGGAGUGCAGGUCUGCCGCGGCCGUUAAAUCUUUAUCAAAGGUUGACCUCGGAUCAGGUAGGGAUACCCGCUGAACUUAAGCAUAUCAAUAAGCGGAGGAA